rnacentral:tRNA from 1 species
GAGAAGGAUGGGCGGGCGGACGCCCACAAGACUGUAAAUCUUGCGCCUCUGUGCAUGGGGAGUUCGAGCCUCCCCCUUCUCACCA